CCUACGGGAGGCAGCAGUAGGGAAUAUUGCUCAAUGGGGGAAACCCUGAAGCAGCAACGCCGCGUGGAGGAGGAGGGUUUUCGGAUUGUAAGCUCCUUCUGUUAGAGAAGAUAAUGACGGUAUCCAACGAAUAAGCACCGGCUAACUCCGUGCCAGCAGCCGCGGUAAUACGGGGGGUGCAAGCGUUACCCGGAAUCAUUGGGCGUAAAGAGCGCGUAGGCGGGAUGGAAAGUCAGAUGUGAAAUCCUAUGGCUUAACUAUAGUACUGCAUUUGAAACUGUUAUUCUAGAGUAUGGGAGAGGUAGGUGGAAUUCUUGGUGUAGGGGUAAAAUCCGUAGAGAUCAAGAGGAAUAUUCAUGGCGAAGGCGCUCUGCUAGAACAUAAUUGACGCUGAUGCGCGAAAGCGUGGGGAGCAAAUAGGAUUAGAUACCCUUGUAGUC
rnacentral:rRNA from 1 species